rnacentral:rRNA from 1 species
UACGGAGGGGGCUAGCGUUGUUCGGAAUUACUGGGCGUAAAGCGCACGUAGGCGGAUCGUUAAGUCGAGGGUGAAAUCCUGGAGCUCAACUCCAGAACUGCCUUCGAUACUGGCGAUCUUGAGUCCGGAAGAGGUGAGUGGAACUCCUAGUGUAGAGGUGGAAUUCGUAGAUAUUAGGAAGAACACCAGUGGCGAAGGCGGCUCACUGGUCCGGUACUGACGCUGAGGUGCGAAAGCGUGGGGAGCAAACAGG